UACUACAGCCAUGCUACCCUGAACAAGCCCGAUCUCGUCUGAUCUUGGAAGCUAAGCAGGGUCGGACCUGGUUAGUACUUGGAUAGGAGACCACCUAGGAAGACCAGGUGCUGUAGGCA
rnacentral:rRNA from 1 species